rnacentral:rRNA from 1 species
UUGAUACUACUAGGCUUGAGUUAAGAAGAGGUAAGCAGAAUUUAUGGUGUAGUAGUGAAAUGCUUAGAUAUCAUAAGGAAUACCAAUAGCGUAGGCAGCUUACUGGUCUUUAACUGACGCUGAGGCACGAAAGCGUGGGGAGCAAACAGGAUUAGAUACCCUAGUAGUCCACGCCGUAAACGAUGAUCACUCGAUAUACAUGAUACAUCAUGUGUGUCUAAGCGAAAGCGUUAAGUGAUCCACCUGGGGAGUAUACUCGCAAGGGUGAAACUCAAAGGAAUUGACGGGGGUCCGCACAAGCGGUGGAGUAUGUGGUUUAAUUCGAUAAUACGCGAGGAACCUUACCUGGGCUAGAAUGUGUUUUGCUACCUUGAGAAGUUGAGGGUUCCUUCGGGACGGAAUACAAGGUGCUGCAUGGCUGUCGUCAGCUCGUGCCGUGAGGUGUUGGGUUAAGUCCUAUAACGAGCGAAACCCUUUUACUUAAUUGCCAGCACGUAAUGGUGGGGACUUUAAGUAGACUGCCCGUGUAAGCGGGAGGAAGGAGAGGACGAGGUCAAGUCAUCAUGGCCUUUAUGCCCAGGGCUACACACGUACUACAAUGGCAUGUACGAAGGGGAGCUACUUGGCAACAAGAUGCAAAUCUCAAAAGCAUGUCUCAGUUCGGAUUGAGGUCUGCAAUUCGACCUCAUGAAGUUGGAAUCGCUAGUAAUCGCGUAUCAGCAAUGACGCGGUGAAUACGUUCUCGGACCUUGUACACACCGCCCAUCAAGCCAUG